rnacentral:lncRNA from 1 species
GCAAGAGUGAAAGUUCCAAUCCUCUAAAGUCAUAGUUGUUACCUUGGUAACCAGCCCCCAUCCUGAGGUAAUCUAGGCGCUCCCAGCUACCAGUCAUCUCAUUAGGACACAAAAAAUACUUUUUUUUUUCUGACAUAGGAUACUGUGUCACCCAAGCUGGAGCACAAUGGCAUGAUCAUGGCUCACUGCAGCCUCUACCUCCUACACUCAAGUGAUCCUCCUGCCUCAGCCUCCUGAGUAGCUGGGACUUCAAGCAAGCAGCCACCACAUCUGGCUAACAAAAGAUACUCUUAUCUCUUGGGAAUUCUAAGGAUUUUGGAUGCUUAAGUGAGGAAAUGGGGAAUAAGACCAAAUAUGCGUUUCGUUAUAAAACACAAGGAAACAUGGGGAAGUGAUAGAAGUCUGAAAUCAAACUAGCUGGGAAACUACAUUUAUCGUUGGACUGAGUAUAUGUCUGGCCCCCGGGUAAAUUGCUCUGUGAUUCUUAACCUAAAUGGCAAUUAAACAAUCCUCUGGAUCCUGGAUCUUACUGAAUAUUCACUACUAAAGAGAUGACAAAAUUUCACUGAAGUGGGGAAUUAAAUGAAGACAAGGAUGCCAUGUUGAAUGAUCUGGCUUCUGCUUAUCAGUCCUGUUAUUGUUCCUUCCAACUACCUAAGAUAAACCAAACAGGUAAUUUAUAUUUCUCCCUAAAUACUUAAUCUCUGUCUAUAUUAUCAAUUCACUCUCACUCCUCCUACCAGUGGUUGCACUGUCCAAUAGGGCAGACACUGGGCACUUGAAAUGUGGCUAGUUUAAAUGGAGAUAUAUUAUAAACUUAAAAUAUAUGAUGAAUUUCUAUAACAUAAAAAGGGCACGUAAAAGAUUGUAACAAUUGAUAUGUGAUAUAAUUAU